AAAAAAAAAACGAAAACAAAAACAAAAACAAAAGAGCAUGGUGGAUGUUAUACUAAAAAGAAAUAUAUGUCUUUCAUUCUUAUAUCUAUCUUAAAUCUACUAAUGUGCAUGGUGGAUGUUAACUUCAUUGAUUAAUAUACUCGUCUUGACCAUCAGUCUAUCCUUUAUCUUUUUUGUAUUUGAGGUCAGUAAUGCAGUCUGCUGAUCUCUUUUACAAAUAAUCAUCAUACUGCAUGCAUCUAGUUAAUCUCUACGGUGCUUUACUUGAUGGCCAAUGUCAUAAGUGGUUCACUUUUUUACCUUCCAAGUUUCAGUGCUCUGAUGAGAUUCGAUG
rnacentral:lncRNA from 1 species